UUUUUCUGUAAUAAGCUUGCUCUCUCUGCUUCUAGAGUGCACCAAUCAUUAUAUUUAUCACUAAUAUGUGCUGGAGUUGAACAUAAUUUCUUUAUUUUCAGCCAUUCUCAGUUGUGCUGGAGCUGGCCUGGUCUGCAGCUAGACUUCUAAGCCUCACUCCUUGUAAAUGGAAAGGAACCUUAAACACAGCUCUAGAUAUGAACGUUCUCCAUUGCUCUUCCCCAACCCAUUUUCCUUCAUGCAAAAGCAUUUUUUUUGAGCUUAUUGUUGGUUUAUGUCUGUGAUAUUUGGCUGCAAUUAAGAUCUUUGGGAUUUAUUACUUGAGAGAAGAGUUUAAUGCCACUAAAGUUGUUUUCUCCAUGCCAAGAUUUCUCUCAAAAGCUCUUGUAAAUCUUAGCAGCUCUGGUGGUAUCAGGCCAGGGACUGACAAGACCGAAAUUUUGGCAGUUUCAUGUCGUUGUGCCAUGUACAAGCUCUUGGUGUGUCUCUGCAUCAUCCAUUAGCAUUUACCCCCUGAUCCUGCCCAUUUUUCCACCUUGUUUUCUUUUUGUGGGAUAUUGGUCUCUGAUGCUGCAUUCCUGUCUCCAUGCAGGAUUGUUGCUGGCUGGUCCCAGUGCAGAAGUUGUAGCUGACCUGUAAUAGGUGACAGCUGAAGAAAUGGACUGAUGGUCCCCAGUGAGAAAUACUUCUGUAGAGAAGACAGAGGGGAAAACAUGAACAAUGGACUUCUCCUGCCCUAAUUGCCAGUACGGCAGGUUUUGAUGAAAAUACACAGUCAGAGAAUGAAGCUUUAUAAACAUGUCUUCUUCCUUCUAAUGAUAGGCAUGGGACAAACUGGAUGGUACUUUUAUAACGUUUUAUUGGCAUGAUUUUGAACUGGUGUGUUAUUUAUGGGACCAUCCUAGACAGAAUGCAGCAAACCCUCUGCAUCUUGUUUCUGUGUGAGGUUCACCUUGAAAUAGGUCUCUUCCACAGAGAGCAGGUCCUCUGCCUUUUUAAGAACAUCUCGAGGCCUCCUUGCUGCUGUUUGUUUUCCUUCAUUGAAGGUUGGGCCAAGAAGAUGAAAACUUGUAGCAUGAAUUGCUCAACCAGUUCUAAACUUUAACUUUACCUCAGCCAGGAAUUUCUGCAGAUUUCUUUUGGUAAGCAAUUUGGUCUGAGGAAAAUUUUGAAUGAAGAACAUUGCAACCAGAAGAUAAAUGGCAAUCAAUACUUGUUUCAACAUAACAUGUGCCUGAAAUCGUACUUACCUAUGCACGAGCACAACAAUGGUCAAAAUUCUGACAUAAAUAAAGAUCUUUUAGGCUUCUGAUAGUGAGUUUCU
rnacentral:lncRNA from 1 species